UACGGGGGGGGCAAGCGUUGUUCGGAAUUACUGGGCGUAAAGGGCUCGUAGGCGGCCAAUUAAGUCAGACGUGAAAUCCCUCGGCUUAACCGGGGAACUGCGUCUGAUACUGGAUGGCUUGAAUCCGGGAGAGGGAUGCGGAAUUCCAGGUGUAGCGGUGAAAUGCGUAGAUAUCUGGAGGAACACCGGUGGCGAAGGCGGCAUCCUGGACCGGCAUUGACGCUGAGGAGCGAAAGCUAGGGUAGCAAACGGG
rnacentral:rRNA from 1 species